rnacentral:rRNA from 1 species
AUUGAACGUUGGCGGCAGGCCUAAAACAUGCAAGUCGAACGGUAACAGCAGGAGCUUGCUCCUGGCUGACGAGUGGCGGACGGGUGAGUAACACGUAGGAAUCUACCUAGUAGUGGGGGACAACCCGGGGAAACUCGGGCUAAUACCGCAUACGCUCUACGGAGGAAAGCGGGGGAUCUUCGGACCUCGCGCUAUUAGAGGAGCCUGCGUCGGAUUAGCUAGUUGGUGGGGUAAAGGCCUACCAAGGCGACGAUCCGUAGCUGGUCUGAGAGGACGAUCAGCCACACUGGAACUGAGACACGGUCCAGACUCCUACGGGAGGCAGCAGUUAGGAAUCUUGGGCAAUGGGCGCAAGCCUGACCCAGCCAUGCCGCGUGUGUGAAGAAGGCCUUCGGGUUGUAAAGCACUUUCAGUGGCGAAGAAAAGUUUGGGGCUAAUAACCUCGAA